ensembl:lncRNA
AUUCUCUUCAUAUUGUCUUUUGCAUGGCAGAAGUUUUUAAUUUUAAUGAAGUCCAGUAUGUACAUCAUUUCUCUCAUGGUCAUACCUUUGGUGUUUUAUCUAGGAAGUCUUUGAGAUCCACAAAGUCACCUAGAUUUUCUCCUAUUUUACCUUCCAGGAGUUUUUUUUUCAAUUAUUUUAUUGAGAUCAUAAUGGUUUAUAACAUUGUAUAAUUUCAGGUGUACAUUAUUAUUUAUCAGUUUCUGUAUAGACUAUCGUGCUCACCAGCAAUAGUCUAAUUUUUAUCCAUCACCAUACGUAUGUGCCUCCCUACCCGUUUUGCUGACCCUCCAACCCUGUUCCCCUCUGGUAACCACUAAUCUGUUCUCUUUAUCCAUGUGUUUGUUUAUCUUCCAUAUAUGAGCGAAAUCAUGCAGUAUGUGUCUCACUCUGGCUUAUUUCCCUUAACAUCAUACCCUCAAGGAACAUGGGGGUGCACAAGUCUCUUUGAAUUCUUGAUUUCAAGCUCUUUGGAUAAAUACUGAGUAGUGGGAUAGCUGGAUCACAUGGUAUUUCUACUUUUAAUUUUUUGAGAAAUCUCCAUACUGUUUUCCAUAGUGGCUGCCAGUUUACAUACCCACCAGUAGGGUAUGAGGGUGCCCUUUUCUCCACAUCCUCUACAACAUUUGUUGUUUUUUGUCUUGGUAAUUAUCACCAUUCUAACAUGUGUAAGGUGAUAUCUCAUUGUAGUUUUGAUUUGCAUUUCCCUAAUAAUUAGCGAUGUUGAACAUCGUUUCAUGUGCCUGUUUGCCAUCUAUAUAUCUUCUCUGGAAAAAUGUCUCUUCAUAUCCUCUGCCCAUUUUUUCUUCGGGUUGUUUGAAUUUUUUGUUGCUGAGUUGUAUUAGUUCUUUAUAUAUUUUGGAAAUCAACCCCUUGUUGGAUAUAUGAUUUGUAAAUAUUUUCUCCCAGUUGGUGGGUUGUUUUUUCGUUUUGUUCCUGGUUUCCUUUGCUUUGCAGAACCUCUUUCGUCUGAUGUAGUCCCAUUUGUUUAUUUUGUCUUUUGUUUCCCAGCCUGAGUAGACACAGUAUUAGAAAAGAUGCUGCUAAGAUUGAUGUCAAAGAGAGUACUGCCUAUGUUUUCUUUUAGGAGUUUUACGGUUUCAGGUUUUACUUUCAAGUCUUUAAUCCAUUUUGAGUUAAUUUUUGUGUAUAGUGUAAGAUAAUGGUCUGCUUUCAUUCUCUUGCAUGUGGUUGUGCAGUUUUCCCAACAUCUUUAUUGAGGAGACUUUCCUUUCUCCAUCAUAUGCUCUUGGCUCCCUUGUCAAAAAUUAGCUGUCCAUAGAUGUGUGGGUUUAUUUCUGAGCUUUCAAUUCUGCUCCAUUGAUCUGUGUGUCUGUUUUUCUGCCACUACCAUGCUGAUUUGAUUACUUCGAAGUAUAUUUUGAAAUCAGGGAUUCUGAUGCCUCCAGCUUUGUUCUUUCUUUUCAGGAUUGCUUUAACUCUUCAGCAUCUUUUGUUGUUCCAUAUAAAUUUUAGAAUUCCUUGUUCUGUUUCUGAGAAGAAUGUCACUGGGAUUCUGAUUUGGAUUGCAUUGAAUCUGUUGAUUGCUUUAGGCAACAUGCACAUUUUAACUAUGUUUAUUCUUCCAAC